GAUGAAGAACGCAGCGAAAUGCGAUAAGUAAUGUGAAUUGCAGAAUUCCGUGAAUCAUCGAAUCUUUGAACGCACAUUGCGCCCCCUGGCAUUCCGGGGGGCAUGCCUGUCCGAGCGUCAUUUCUGCCCUCCAGCCCGGCUGGGUGUUGGGCGCUGUCCCCCCGGGGACACGCCCCAAAGGCAGUGGCGGCGCCGCGUCGGGUCCUCGAGCGUAUGGGGCUUUGUCACCCGCUCGGGAUGGACUCGUCGGCGCUGGUCUUCCUCCAGGCGACCCUUCGGGGCUCGUCUUCCUUCGGUUGACCUCGGAUCAGGUAGGGUUACCCGCUGAACUUAAGCAUAUCAAUAAGCGGAGGA
rnacentral:misc_RNA from 1 species